rnacentral:tRNA from 4 species
GGCGGGGUAGCUCAGAUGGUCAGAGCGCACGACUCAUAAUCGUGAGGUCGCGGGUUCGAUCCCCGCCCUCGCUA